CACCGCGGUUAUACGAGAGGCCCAAGCUGACAAUCGCCGGCGUAAAGAGUGGUUAAGAUUAAAUAUGAGACUAAAGCCGAAAGCCCUCACAGCUGUUAUACGCAAUCGAGGGUAAGAAGCUCAAUUACGAAAGUAGCUUUACACCAUCUGACCCCACGAAAGCUAGGGCACAAACUGGGAUUAGAGACCCCACUAUGCCCAGCCUUAAACAUUGACAGUUCAUUACACAUGCUGUCCGCCCGGGAACUACUAGCGCUAGCUUAAAACCCGAAGGACUUGGCGGUGCUUUAGAUCCACCUAGAGGAGCCUGUUCUAGAACCGAUGAUCCCCGUUCAACCUCACCCUUCCUUGUUCAUCCCGCCUAUAUACCACCGUCGUCAGCUUACCCUGUGAAGGCCCAAUAGUAAGCAAGAUUGGCACUGCCCAAAACGCCAGGUCGAGGUGUAGCGUAUGGAAGGGGAAGCAAUGGGCUACAUUCACUACAAUAGUGAACACGAACAGUGCACUGAAACGUGCUCAUUGAAGGAGGAUUUAGCAGUAAGCAGAAAAUAGAGUGUUCCGCUGAAACCGGCCCUGAAGCGCGCACAUACCGCCCGUCACUCUCCCCAAAUUCCACUAAUUCAAAUGCUUAAGCCCUGAGAACAAAGAAGGGGAGGCAAGUCGUAA
rnacentral:rRNA from 1 species